rnacentral:lncRNA from 1 species
ACAAACACAUUCAAUAUAAAGUCCUUUUAUCAAGUUAAGACAUCUAAAUCUUGCAAAUAAAGCAUGCCCCAUCAAUAAAGAUGAUCUCAAUUUCUCAGUACAUUAGUCAGCAGGCCAUUAGCAUUAGCUCAUGUUAACAACGGCAACAUGCUAUUGUAGCUCAGGUACAGACAUUCAGAUUGUACAGACUACAGAGCAAAGCAACACCUACAGCACAUUGAUUCAAAUAAUUUCAUGUACAUCUCAUCCCGGAGGCUUUUGCAUUCAGACCUUCAUGAUGCUUCUUCAGUCAGCCUGCACUUAAGAGACCAUCUGAAUUUU